GCAGUACAUCCUUGUAACGGAGAGGAGGUCUGCUCAUCCCACACUUGGCGCAUAUGUCAGAGUGGUGUAGGGAAGAUUUCUGGGAACCAAUGUUUGAAUUAAAUCAUGAAAAUGAGUAGGAGACUGCUACAUGAGUAAGGGAGGGAAGGAAGUCAGUAGAGAAGGUAGGCAGUGCUUGCAAAGUCUUGAACACUGCAAGAAUGGACUAAUAUACCAUAUGAAGACAAACGGGGUGUCUGCAAGCUGGGAAGAGUGCACCAACCAGAAACUGAGUUCUGCUGGGCUUUGAUCUAGGACAUCCAGCCUCCAGAAUGGGAUGUGCCAUAUGGAGAGACCUGCAUGUAAAGGAACUGAGAGUGCUCUCUGACUAAAAGCUAGAAGGAACCAACGCCCUCAGUCAAUCAUCUACAAGACACUGGAUCUUGCCAGCAGCCUUGCAGUGAGCUUGAAAGCAGAUCUAUUCCCAGCUGAACCUUCAGAUGAGACUGCAGCCUAAGCAGACACUUUGGUUGCAGGCUUGUGAGACACCCUGAAACUGAGGGCCCAGCUAAGCCUCAGCCAGGUUAACCUCUAAGAAAACUGUGAGCAAGCAAAUGUCAUUUUAGGCUAUUUAAAUUUGGAGGUAGCUUGUUUCACAACAAUAAAUAACUAUUGCACUUAUCUUAAGGAUUUGCUGGGAAGAAUAAGUGAAUUGCAUAUAUAGGUUAUCCUAUGCAGAAUAAUGGUACACCAGAGAUGUUCACCCCAGAGAUGUUCUAGGAACCUGUGAAUACAUUACCUUACAUGGCAAAGUUUUCCUGGAUAGUUUAAGUUUAAGAUGGAAAACUUUUCCUGUAUUAUCCAGUGGGCUGGAUCCAAUCACAAGAGUCUUUAAAAAUGGAGAACAUUUUCUGGCCCCAAUCAGAGAGAGACAUGUGAUGAUGGAGGAAGUAUCAGAGAUGCAAUGUGGGGGAACUAAAACUACUGUUGCUGACUUUGAAGAUGGAGAGAGGUGACCCGAGUCAAGGAAUGCAAAUGGCCUCUAGAAGCUGGGAAAGGCAAGAAACAAAUUAUCUUCUAGAGCCUCCAGAAUAAAAUGCAGCCAUGUCGACACCUUGAUUUUAGCCCAGUGAGACCAAUACUGGAGUCUGAUCUCCAGAGCUGGAUAAAAUUAUACCUACACAUCUUAAUUUAUUAAGAUUUGAUUACCUCUUCUGCUUUGAAAUUAGACCAGAUUUAGCCUGCCUUUGUUAUUUUGGCAUAUCUCCAAUUCUUCAUGAUUUUCUCAUAGCAAAGGCUGUGUAAGGACAGUGAGAAGGCAGCCAUCUGCAAGCCAGGAAGAGAGGCCUCACCAGACACCAACUUGCCAGCACCUUGAUCUUGGACUUACAGCUUCCAGAACUGGCCUUCUACUCACAUGGCUUCUGUGCAUCUGCUUCAGGAGACAGCAACACUUGCACCCGCACUGCAGCAAGCGCCCAUCACCUGGUGCAUAUGCUGCUCCGAGUCUCAUCACACCUUGGUGAAGGAACACAUGGACGCAUGUGUUAGCGGAUGUGUUUACAUAGUUUUAUACAGAAAGGGGAAAUAGAUGGGUCUCACUCUGUUACCCAGGUUGGAGUGCAGUGGUGCAAUCUUGGCUCACUGCAGCCUCUGCCUCCUGAGGCUGGUUCAAAGGAUUCUCCUGCCUCAGCCUCCUGAGUAGCUGGGACUAUAGGCCUGCACCACCACUCCUAGAUUUUUUUUUCAGUAGAGAUGGGGUUUCACCAUGUUGGCCAGGCUGGUCUCGAACUCCUGACCUCAAAUGAUCCACCUGCCUUAGCAUUCCAAAGUGCUGGGAUUACAGGUGUGAGCCACUGUGCCUGUCCUGUUCUUAAGUCUCCUAGAACAGUGAUUAUGAAACACCAAAUUUAUCAGGCAAAGAGUUCUAAUAUGCCUUUCAUAACACUCGUAGAAGGAAGGUUGAGAGCCAAUCAUCUGCACCACUGCCCUACUUAAAAACAUCCUUGUAUCAGUUUUCCCUUAUUUCCUGUUCUCCUCCGUAGACCUUCAGUCCUGUUCUUGGCAAUCACUUCCAGAAUAAACCAUGUGUAUGCCUCAGACUCUGAUCUCAGAGGAUCCCAGGAUAAGACAGAGAUAUACUAUGCUGAUUGCUCUACCUGCAUUUUCUCAUUUAAUUGAAAUAUAUACUUCGUAAGGUAUUUAUUCAUAUCUCCAUAAUUUUAUCGAGAAAUCUCAGAGAAAUUAAUACUUUUCAAAAGGCAAUUAAAGUAGCACAGCAAACAAUUGAUAAAACCUGGAUUUGCCAACUUAAACCGGUUGCAAAACCUGUAUAUUGUUUCAUAGUAUACCACUCAAAUUCUCAAAGGCUGUUGGAAGGGAUUAAAUGAGAUCAUGAAUGUAAAAUUCUUGGUAUAGUUAAUUCUCAAAAAUAGGCCUUCAAUCUUUAGAAUCCAUUUGUAGAACUAUCUUCAGGAAGGAAAAACACAUCACCCUUCACCCCACCCUCAAAGAAACAUGGAAAAUUUAAACUGAGACCUCAGAUCUCGAGAUCUACACAUCUUAGAAUAUUUUGUUUCUAUGAAAAAGAAGCUUUGGAGAAUGUGCAUCAGUCACAAACACUGUAGAGUUAGCACAGAAAUCAGCCCAUCACAUUAUGCCCCAAAUGCUAAAGUGCUGCUGAAUCUGAUUGCCCUGCAUUUUUAAGUGCUGCAAAAUUCUGGGACUUGGGAUCAUCUGUCACUACAGACUUGUCUUAUUCUGCUGAAAUAAAACAUAUAGUCUAAUUUGCAAAGUUCUCGUGUGGAAAGAGUCCUAAAAAUGUAUGUAACCUCUGUCCCAGCAAUUCCAUUAGGAAUUUAUCCAAUACAAAAUCUAAAAUGCACAAAAUCUACAUAUUGAAUGCUUAUGGCAGCAUUCUUUAAAAUUAUGAAAAUUGAAAGCAACCAGAAUCUUCACAAACAGACUAAUGGCUAAGUAAUGUAACCAUACGAUGAAACGUGGUAGUUAAAUACUCUAGAUUUGUUUCAUAUAAACAAUCAUGGUAUAACAUUUGGCUAUAAAAAAUAACAAAUUCAAUUGUAAUUUUAAAACCAGUAUCUCUGCACUUUUGUGAACCUGAAAAAUAAGAUGGUAAAUAUUUAACUGCAUUUUUCUUUAAUGGUUGGGGCCAUGAAUUAUUUUAAUUUCCUUAAUAAUUUCUAAUCUUCUCUGAAAAUUUCAUAGUAAUCUCUA